AGCAUCUUCUCCGCGAGGCUGUCCUCCAGGAGCCUCAUGAUGGCCCUCCUUAGCGGCCUCGCACCAUAGCUCGGGUUGAAGCCUUCGUCGACGAUACGCUCCUUGAACUUCUCGGUGACCUGGAGAUCAAUGUCCUUGGCCUUGAGCCUGUCAAAGACCUCCUUGAGCAUGAUCUCAGCGAUCUCCUUGACCUCCAGCUUGGUGAGUUGCCUGAAGACGAUCAUCUCGUCGAGACGGUUGAGGAACUCGG
rnacentral:misc_RNA from 1 species